GCUGCAACUCGCCUACAUGAAGUCGGAAUCGCUAGUAAUCGCGGAUCAGCAUGCCGCGGUGAAUACGUUCCCGGGCCUUGUACACACCGCCCGUCACACCAUGAGAGUUGGGGAUACCCAAAGCCCGUGAGCCAACUUUUAGAGGCAGCGGUCUAAGGUAGAAUCAAUGAUUGGGGUGAAGUCGUAACAAGGUAAC
rnacentral:rRNA from 1 species